AUGAUCACAUUGCAUGCCAGAGGAUGGAAUGAGCGCAAAAAAAGAAACCUGCACAAGUACUUGUCUACACGGUACUUGAAGACUAUCCAAAAGACAAAGGAAGUCAAGAAAGACAUUGCGGCUAUAAAGAAGUGCACGCAAAGGUCUGAUGAGGAACUGCAACAGUGGGUCACUGAUGUGAGACAGUGGGCAGUUGACACACCAGAUGACUUCAGAACAGAUGAUCCAGUGGCGUUGCAACAUCUGAUUGAAGGCCUAUUCUUGGGCAUCCAGCAGAAAAAGAGGGAUCUGUAUCGAGUAACCGACCGUAACAAACAGCGACACAAGAUCCGAAGACGGAUUAGAGAGGAUAAGAAAAAGCUGUUUAAUGCCAUAUCCCAAUACAAUGAUCUUCCAACCACCACAGAAUCUGUAGAUUCAGUUGAAGACCUUCUGGCAGCAGAAAGCCCUAUCUGGCCUUGGGAUUCUGAACCUGACACUUCCUUAGGCAUGAAGAAGAAGGUUUUUGACAAGGUGAUGCAGCUGGAGAGACUGAUUGAGGAAGAGGCUAUACUUUUAGAGGAAAUGAAACAACAUUGGACUCAUCUUACAAGAACCUGCAGGGCCUUGAAGGACCAGGCUAAUGUACUAGCAGAUGACCUGGCCACACAGAGUGAGUACUAAUUUCUUAAUUCUGUUUACUUCAUAUAGUUAUAUUUAACUGCUUGCAGAUGAUAAUUCAUACAAACUGCAAUAUUGAUGUUUUGGUUAAUUGUUUUUUUUUUUUUUUUUUUUUUUUUUUU
ensembl:lncRNA